rnacentral:rRNA from 1 species
GGCGCACGGGUGCGUAACGCGUAUGCAACCUACCUAUUACAGGGGGAUAGCCCGGGGAAACUCGGAUUAAUACCCCAUAGUAUAUUGAUUUCGCAUGGGAUUAAUAUUAAAGAUUUAUCGGUAAUAGAUGGGCAUGCGUAGGAUUAGCUAGUUGGUAAGGUAAAGGCUUACCAAGGCGACGAUCCUUAGGGGUUCUGAGAGGAAGGUCCCCCACACUGGUACUGAGAUACGGACCAGACUCCUACGGGAGGCAGCAGUAGGGAAUAUUGGGCAAUGGACGAGAGUCUGACCCAGCCAUGCCGCGUGCAGGAAGACGGCGUUAUGCGUUGUAAACUGCUUUUAUACGGGAAGAAAAGGCCCAUGCGUGGGACAUUGCCGGUACCGUAUGAAUAAGCACCGGCUAACUCCGUGCCAGCAGCCGCGGUAAUACGGAGGGUGCAAGCGUUGUCCGGAUUUAUUGGGUUUAAAGGGUGCGUAGGCGGGAAUUUAAGUCAGCGGUGAAAGUUCAGGGCUCAACCUUGAAAUUGCCAUUGAUACUGGAUUUCUUGAGUGUCGAUGGGGUACAUGGAAUUUAUGGUGUAGCGGUGAAAUGCAUAGAUACCAUAAGGAACACCGAUAGCGAAGGCAUUGUACUUAUCGAUAACUGACGCUGAGGCACGAAAGCGUGGGUAGCGAACAGGAUUAGAUACCCUGGUAGUCCACGCCGUAAACGAUGAUUACUCGCUGUUAUGCCCUUUGCGGUGUAGUGGCCAAGCGAAAGCGUUAAGUAAUCCACCUGGGGAGUACGCUCGCAAGGGUGAAA